rnacentral:RNase_P_RNA from 1 species
GGGAGCGGGUGCAUGAUCGCUCCGGUUUUGGCCGGGGAGGAAAGUCCGAACUCCAUAGAGCAGGAUGGUUCGUAACGCGAACACCGGGCGACCGGUGGAAAGUGCCACAGAAAACAAACCGCCCGCAAGGGUAAGGGUGAAACGGCGAGGUAAGAGCUCACCGCUUUUACGGCGACGUAAAAGGCAGGGUAAACCCCAUCUGGAGCAAGACCAAAUAGGGAGAUGAUACGGGCUGCUCGUCCAAUAUCUCCGGGUAGGUUGCAUGAGGUGUCUGGCGACAGACAUCCUAGCUAAAUGAUCAUGGCUCAUUAUUGAGUACAGAAUUCGGCUUAUAGCCCGCUCCUUUUU